rnacentral:rRNA from 1 species
AUGAACGCUGGCGGCGUGCCUAAUACAUGCCAGUCGAGCGAACAGACGAGGAGCUUGCUCCUCUGACGUUAGCGGCGGACGGGUGAGUAACACGUGGAUAACCUACCUAUAAGACUGGGAUAACUUCGGGAAACCGGAGCUAAUACCGGAUAAUAUAUUGAACCGCAUGGUUCAAUAGUGAAAGACGGUUUUGCUGUCACUUAUAGAUGGAUCCGCGCCGCAUUAGCUAGUUGGUAAGGUAACGGCUUACCAAGGCAACGAUGCGUAGCCGACCUGAGAGGGUGAUCGGCCACACUGGAACUGAGACACGGUCCAGACUCCUACGGGAGGCAGCAGUAAGGAAUCUUCCGCAAUGGGCGAAAGCCUGACGGAGCAACGCCGCGUGAGUGAUGAAGGUCUUCGGAUCGUAAAACUCUGUUAUUAGGGAAGAACAAAUGUGUAAGUAACUAUGCACGUCUUGACGGUACCUAAUCAGAAAGCCACGGCUAACUACGUG